UCAUUCAACCCUACAGUGAAAAUAGGGAAGUGUUUAGAGGAGGACAACAGAAACACAGGAAGUGGACAGCUGAAAAUGAGAAUGUGAAAUUUUAGCGUUUUCACACUCAGUGCCAGCCUCUGCCCCUUCCCUAGGCCAACGCCUCCUUUUCCGACAAUGUCUUCACUCUGGAACAGGAACAUGGCAGAAGGGAGAGAGGAAGGGAGGAUACAAGUGUCUGGCUGCCGGUGAAGGCUCAGUGCAGACGGAGCAGAGAGGAACACUCAUCGCCCAGUCUUCCCUGAGACAGAUCUAAUUGCAUACUUUAAAAUCUGCUGCCUGGGGAUCUGGCUUCCAAUCAGCUUGCGUUUACGUGCUGACUGAGAUCUUCUCCUUGGAACACUGACAGGUCUUGGCACACCAUGAACUAUUGGGAGUCACUAAGAACAAAGAAAGCAGCCUGAAUAAUCGCAAAGGUUUGAGAGAUAACCAAGAGCUCAGACCAGGCUGAAUGACAAGGUUCAUCUCCUACUUGAGACUAUUCCACCAAGGUAGGAGAGAUGGCUAUUUCAUCUAAUGCACAGAAACCAAUGCAGACAUUCAAGAAAAUUCUGCAUUCUGCAUUCAAGGAAAAUGAAGAAACAAAGGAAAGUAUUCUAAACAAAAAAAACAAGAUAAAACUCCAGAAACGGGUCUUAUUGAAAUGGAGAUGAGUGGUUUACCGGAUAAAGAGUUCAAAACAAUGGUUAUAAAAGUUAUCAAUGAGGUCAGAAAAACAAUGCAUGAACAGAGUCAGAAUUUCAAUAAAGAGACAGAAAAUAUAAGAAAGUAACAACUAGAAAUCACUGAGCUAAAGAACACAAAAACUGAACUAAAAAAAUUCAAUAGAAGGUUUCAACAGCAGACUGGAUUAAGAAGAAAGAUUCAACAAACUCGAAGACAGUGCAGUGGAAUUUAUCCAAUCAGGGCAGCAAAAAAAAAAAAAAAAAAGGAAUUAAAAAAAGUGAAGAUAGCUUAAGAGACUUAUGGGACAGGAUAAAAAGAUCAAUAUUCACAUUCACAUUGUAGGGGUCCUAGAAGAGAGAGAGAAAGGAGAAGAAAGCUUAUUCAAAGAAAUGAUCACUGAAAACUUCCCUAACCUGGGGAAACCCAGUUACAAGAUCCAAGAUCCAAUUACAAGAAGAAAACUAGAAUAUUCACAAAUAUGUGGAGAUUAAACAUGUUACUGAUGACCAAUAGGUCAAUGAAGAACUCAAAAGAGAAAUCGAAAAAUAUCUUGAAACAAAUGAAAAUGGAAUACAACAUACCAAAACUUAUGGGAUGCAGCAAGAGAAGUUCUAAGGCGGAAGUUCACAAUGAUAAAUGCUUACAUUAAAAAAUAAGAAAACUCUCAAAUAAACAACCUACCUCUAUACCUCAAGAAACUAGAAAAAGAGAAAACUAAGCCCAAGGAUAGCAAAAGGGAGAAAAUAACCAAGAUCAGAGCAUAAAUAAAUGAUGUAGGGACUAAAUAGACAAUAGAAAAGAUCAAUGAAACUGAGCUCUUUUUUUGAAGAGAUAAGUGAAAUAGACAAACCUUUAGCGGGACUCACCAAGAAAAAAAAGGAGAGAGGACUUGAAUAAAUAAAAUUAGAAGUGAAGUAGAAGAUAUUACAACUGAUACUACAGAAAUCCAAAGGAUCAUAAGAGACUACUAUGAAAAAUUAUAUACCAACAAAUUAGAUAACCUAGAAGAAAUGGAUAAAUUUCUAGAAACACACACCUUACCAAGACAGAAUCAUGAAACAGAAAAUCUGAACAGACCAUUUACUAGUAAGGAGAUUAAAUCAGUAAUCAAAAAUCUACAACAAACUAGAGUCCAGAACCAAAUAGUUUCACUGGUUAAUUCUACCAAAUACUUAAAGAUGAAUUCAUACCAAUCCUUCUCAAACUUCUCAAAAAAAAUUGAGGAAGAGGGGACACUUCCAAACUCAUUUUGCAAGGCCAGUAUUACCCUGAUACCAAAACCAAAGAUGCCACAAGAAAAAAAUAUUAUAGAUCUAUAUCCCUGAUGAACAUAGAAGCAAAAGCUUUCAAGAAAAUGUUAGCAAAUCAAAUUCAACAGUACAUUAAAAGAAUCACACACCAUGAUCAAAUAGGAUUUAUUCCUGUAUUGCAACAAUGAUUUAAUACCCACAAAUCAGUGCGAUACACCACAUUAACAAAAUGAGGGAUAAAAAUCAUAUCAUCUCAAUAGAUGGAAGAAAAGCACUUGACAAAAUUCAACAUCCAUUCAUAAUAAAAACUCUCAACAAACUGUGUAUAGAGCAAAAGUACCUCAACAUAAUAAAGUAUAUAUAUGACAAACCCGCAGCUAACAUCGUACUCAACUUUGAAAGGCUGAAAGCUUUUCCUCUAAGAUCAGAAACAAGACUAGGAAGCCCACUCUCAUAACUUUUAUUUAACAUAUUACUGGAAGUCCUAGCUAGAGCCAUUAGGCAAGAUAAAGAAAUAAAAUCAUCCAAAUAGGAAAGGAAGAAGUAAGACCCUCUCUAUUCGCAGAUGAUAAAAUCUAAAGACUCUGCCAAAAAACUGUUAGAACUAAUAAACUAGUACUAAUAAAUUCAGUAAGAUUACAGUAUAUAAAAUCAACCUACAAAAAUCAGUUGCAUUUCUGUAUGCUACAAAUGACCUAACAGAAAGCAAAAUUGAGAAAACAAUCCCGUUUACAACUACACCAGAAAGAAUAAAAUAUCUAGGAAUAAAUUUACCCAAGGAAGUAAAAAUCUGUACACUGAAAACUAUAAGACUUUAAUGAAAGAAACUGAAGAAGACACAAAUAAAUGGAAAGGUAUUCUGUACUCAUGGAUUGGAAGAAUUGAUCUUGUGAAAAUGACCAUACUGCUCAAAGCAAUCUACAGACUCAAUGUAAUCCCUAUCGUGGAGGGGCCAGCCCAAUGGCAUAGUGGUUAAGUUCACAUGCUCUGCUUUGGCAGCCUGGAGUUUGCAGGUUUGGAUCCUGGGUAUGGACCUACACACAACUCAUCAAGCCAUGCUGUGGCAUGGUGGCAUCCCACACACAAAUCAGAGGAACAUUGGCACAGGUGUUAGCUCCGUGACGAUCUUCCUUAAGCAAAAAGAGGAAGAUUGGCAAUAGAUGUUAGCUGUUAGCUCAGGGCCAAUCUUCCUCACUGAAAAAAAAAAUUUCCAAUAGUAUUUUUCACAAGAAUAGAACGAACAACUCUAAAAUUUGUAUGGAACAGCAAAAGAUCUGAAUAGCCAGAGCAAUCUUGAGAAAGAAGAACAAAGCUGGAGGCAGGAUGAGUUUUGAUUUCAAACUAUAUUACAAAACUAUAGCAAUCAAAACAGUAUGGUAUUGGCAUAAAACAGACACAUAGAUCAAUGGAACAGAAGAGACAGUCCAGAAAUAAACCCAUACACAUAUGGUCAAUUAAUUUACAACAAAGCCAAGAAUAUAUUCUUGGGAAAGAUAGUCUCUAUAAUGAAUGGUGCUGGGAAAACUGGACAGCCAUGUGCAAAAGAAUGAAACCAGACUCCUAUCUUACACCAUAAACAAAAAUCAGCUCAAAAUUGAUUAAAGACCUGAAUGUAAGACCUUAAACUGUAAAACUCCUAGAAGAAAACACAGAGGACAAGCUGUUUGACAUUGGUCUUGGCAAUAAAUUUUUUGGAUUUGAUACCAAAAGUAAAGGCAAUAAAAGCAAAAUAAAAAAUGGGACUACAUCAAACUAAAAAGCUUCUGCAUAGCAAAGAAAACCAUCAACAAAAGGAAAAGGCAAUUUAUGGAGUGGGAGAAAAUAUUUGCAAACUACAUAUCUUAUAAAAGGUUUAUAUUCAAAAUAUAUAAAGAACUCAUAUAACUCAAUAGCAAAACCCCAAACAAGCCAAUUACAAAAUGGCCAGAGGAACUGAAUAAACAUUUUCCCAAGGAAGACACAUAAAUGGUCAACAAGUACGUGAAAAGUUGCUCUGCAUCACUAAUAAUCAGGGAAACGCAAAUCAAAGCCACAGUGAGCUGUCACCUCACUCCUGUUAGAAUGGCUCUCAUCAAAAAAACAAGAGAUAACAAGGGUUAGGGAGGAUGUGGAGAAAAGGGAACGCUUGUCCACUGUUGGAAGAAUGUAAAUUGGUACAGCCGCUGUGGAAAACAAUAUGAAGGUUGCUCAAAAAAUUAAAAGUAGAGCUACAAUACGAUCCAACAAUUCCACUUCUGCAUCUAUAUCGAAAGGAAAUGAAAAUAGGAUAUAGGACAUUGAAGAUAGCUGCACUCCUGUGUUCAUUGCAGCAUUAUUUACAAUAGCCAAGAUAUGGAAACAAUCUAAGAGCCCUUUCAACUGAUGACUGGAUAAGAAGAUGUGGGAUAUAUACCCAAUGGAAUACUAUUCAGCCAUAAAAAAUAAGGAAAUCCUGCAUUUGCAACAACUUGGAUGAACCUUGAGGGCAUUACGGGAGGAGAGUCUAAGGGAAGAGCCCACUCAACCAUGAUGCUCCAGGUUGUGAGUUUUCAUGCUGCCCAUAUGAUGCAGUGAUAGACGCAUAUUCCCAAAUCAGGAUGACUGAUUUCCUAUCAAGAGUAGACCAGGAAUGACUGGAGAUGAUGAACUUACACAAAAUCCAGAAGAACCAGAGGGCCCCAGAAAAUUAAUGUUUAAAAAUCUGAUAUAAGAGAUGCGUAACUCUUCCUUAACAUAGCAAAUCCUGA
ensembl:lncRNA